UACUGAGCAAGUUUCAGGACAGCCAAGCUUAGGCAACAAAGGGCAGAAAGCUGAUGAAGAUGGAUUAGAUGAAGGGGCCAUGAUCCAGCCUGAGUAAAUAGCAGAACUUGGCAGUUUUGGCCGUGUGGUUCUGGUAUUAGAGUUAAGGAGAGAAGAAAUGGGUUAUGGAAUUUGCCUCAGUGCCUAAAAAAGGCCACUGAGGCCAGGAUUGUGUCAGGGGUGUCCUUGAAUGAAAGCCUAGUAGAGAGGCCAUUGCAUGAAGCUGUGAAGUUGCAGCCUGGAUUGCCUUGGAGAACCCAAGAUACUAGAGAUGCCAGAGUUGUGGGAUACCUGCCAAAGAGAGCUGCUAACAAUGAGUAGAACUAGCCCGAGAGAAAUAAAUAUGUUGCAGUCAACAAAGCUGAACAUAAUUGGAGAUCUGAAGAUCAUUUUGCUCUCAGACAAGGAGUUGCAGAGUUUAGAAUUUGCCCAGCUGGUUUUCAGUCUUGCUUUGGUCCAGUACUUUUCCUCACUCUGCUCCCUUCCCUACAUUUUGGACCAGUAAUAUAUAUUCUGUACCAUUAUAUGUUGGAAGUAUGCAAUCUGCUUUGUGAUUUUGAUUUUUACAGGGGGAUUACAGUUAAAAGAUUGCCAUGCAUCUCAGAAGAGACUUUGGACUUGAAACAAGUCUGAGACUGCUAUAGACUACGGGGACUUUUGAAGUUGAACUGAAUGCAUUUUUUUGUAUUAUGAUACAGCUAUAAACUUUUUGAGGCCUGGGAGUGGAAUGUGGUGUUUGAAAGAAAAUAGCCUCCAAAAGGAGUGGCUCUGUUAGGAGGUGUGGCCUUGUUGGAGGGUGGGCUUUGAGGUCUCUUUUGCUCAAGCUUCUCUCCACGUGACAAUCAGUCGACUUCCUGCUGCCUUCUGUUCAAGAAGCUCCAACACCACGUCUGCCAGUCUGCUCCCCGUUGUGCUCCCCACCAUGAUGAUAAUGGACUGAACCUCUGAAACUCCCCCUGGAACCUGCAGAAGGCCUACACAGACCAUGAGUAUGCUCUGAUCACAUGAAAAAGAGUUUGUGGACCCACAACAGCCAACCUCCAGUGACACAGGAUUAAACAAAACAGAUGGACAACUCUGAGCAAUUAUCUAUGCCUAGUACAGCAGGACGGAGUCCCAGUUGCCCUCAGCAGCAGAAGGCUUAGCACAUAGCUGAUGAGGGAUCGUCUCACUGCCCUCCUCCUUCCCACCCCUUUACCCUUUCCUAGAAUCACUUCCCAAAUAAACCACUUCCACAGAA